rnacentral:rRNA from 1 species
GGUUACGGCCAUGCCACCCUGAACAAGCCCAAUCUCGUCUGAUCUCGGAAGCUGAGCAGGAUCGGGCCUGGUUAGUCUUUGGAUGGGAGACCACCUAGGAAGACCAGGUGCUGUUAAAA